CCACUUAUUGGCUAUGGACUGCAGGUUGGUGCUUAGUGUUCUGUUGAUAUCUUUAGUUUGCUUUUGUACUUGAAGCUUUGUUACUUGUGGUUUUUAUUCUAGAUUCAAUUGGCUGAAAUUGCAGGAUUCUAUCUCUUAGCCAAGGUGGAAGAAGCUGUGGAUAAACCUAUAUGUAGUUGGAUUCAUCAUAUUAUGUCUCAACAAAGUAGCCGUAGCAAAUUGCAGGACUCAUCAUAUUAAGCCUAUAAGCCCUUUCCUGGAGCCGGAG